GGUGAUAUUUCACGUGGUUGGGUGUGUUUUAACAACUAAUGAUACGAUGUUGUGCUUACUGCAGGGACUGGCAAUUCUCACCGCCAUGGCAUUUCUUUAUUUUUAUCUUGACUGGGUUCGCAUGUUACGCAGACCACCACGACAACUUGAGAACGAGAUACCGCUAGAGGAUCUAAUAUUAUUGGCCGACGAAAAAGGAGAAUUACCAUCGGAAGAAGACUAAUGAAUGACGCUUCGAUUCACUUAUUCACUCUACAUGGGCUUAAUAGCGAAACUGAGUACUAUUUUCUGUAUUAGUAUAUA